UGGCUCAGGACGAACGCUGGCGGCGUGCUUAACACAUGCAAGUCGAGCGGAGAAUAUAGCAAUAUAUUCUUAGCGGCGGACGGGUGAGUAACGCGUGGGUAACCUGCCUUUUACAGGGGGAUAACACUGGGAAACUAGCGCUAAUACCGCAUAAAAUAGUGAAGUGGCAUCACUUUACUAUCAAAGGAGCAAUCCGGUAAAAGAUGGACCCGCGUCCGAUUAGCUAGUUGGAGGGUAACGGCCCACCAAGGCGACGAUCGGUAGCCGAACUGAGAGGUUGAUCGGCCACAUUGGGACUGAGACACGGCCCAGACUCCUACGGGAGGCAGCAGUGGGGAAUAUUGCGCCAAUGGGGGAAACCCUGACGCAGCAACGCCGCGUGAAGGAUGAAGGUUUUCGGAUUGUAAACUUCUUUGAUUGGGGACGAUAAUGACGGUACCCAAAAAACAAGCCACGGCUAACUACGUGCCAGCCGCGGC
rnacentral:rRNA from 1 species